AAGUCGUAACAAGGUAACCGUAGGUGAACCUGCGGUUGGAUCAUUAACAUUAACGUUGCCUCGUAGGGGGUUACCCCUACGAGCGCUUUCACACCCUACCAGACGCAAGUCUGCUUGAACUUUAUGUUGACUAGCGGGUUCCAACAGCUCUCGGGCUGGACUGCAAAGUCACCCGCUGUUUAAACUUGACAAUUCUAUAGUCAUUUUUUUGUAUUUUUAAACAAAACAACUUUUGGCAACGGAUCUCUAGGCUCUU
rnacentral:misc_RNA from 1 species